UGCAAGUCGAACGGUGAACACGGAGCUUGCUCUGUGGGAUCAGUGGCGAACGGGUGAGUAACACGUGAGCAACCUGCCCCUGACUCUGGGAUAAGCGCUGGAAACGGCGUCUAAUACUGGAUACGAGUAGCGACCGCAUGGUCAGUUACUGGAAAGAUUUAUUGGUUGGGGAUGGGCUCGCGGCCUAUCAGCUUGUUGGUGAGGUAAUGGCUCACCAAGGCGUCGACGGGUAGCCGGCCUGAGAGGGUGACCGGCCACACUGGGACUGAGACACGGCCCAGACUCCUACGGGAGGCAGCAGUGGGGAAUAUUGCACAAUGGGCGCAAGCCUGAUGCAGCAACGCCGCGUGAGGGAUGACGGCCUUCGGGUUGUAAACCUCUUUUAGCAGGGAAGAAGCGAAAGUGACGGUACCUGCAGAAAAAGCGCCGGCUAACUACGUGCCAGCAGCCGCGGUAAUACGUAGGGCGCAAGCGUUAUCCGGAAUUAUUGGGCGUAAAGAGCUCGUAGGCGGUUUGUCGCGUCUGCUGUGAAAUCCGGAGGCUCAACCUCCGGCCUGCAGUGGGUACGGGCAGACUAGAGUGCGGUAGGGGAGAUUGGAAUUCCUGGUGUAGCGGUGGAAUGCGCAGAUAUCAGGAGGAACACCGAUGGCGAAGGCAGAUCUCUGGGCCGUAACUGACGCUGAGGAGCGAAAGGGUGGGGAGCAAACAGGCUUAGAUACCCUGGUAGUCCACCCCGUAAACGUUGGGAACUAGUUGUGGGGUCCAUUCCACGGAUUCCGUGACGCAGCUAACGCAUUAAGUUCCCCGCCUGGGGAGUACGGCCGCAAGGCUAAAACUCAAAGGAAUUGACGGGGACCCGCACAAGCGGCGGAGCAUGCGGAUUAAUUCGAUGCAACGCGAAGAACCUUACCAAGGCUUGACAUAUACGAGAACGGGCCAGAAAUGGUCAACUCUUUGGACACUCGUAAACAGGUGGUGCAUGGUUGUC
rnacentral:rRNA from 1 species